UUGGUCCCACCUGACCCCAUGCCGAACUCAGAAGUGAAACGCCGUAGCGCCGAUGGUAGUGUGGGGUCUCCCCAUGCGAGAGUAGGACACUGCCAGGC
rnacentral:rRNA from 1 species